AACUCUUAGCGGUGGAUCACUUGGCCCGUGUGUCGAUGAAGAACGCAGCUAACUGCAAGAACUAAUGUGAAUUGCAGGACACAUUGAUCAUCGACACUUCGAACACACCUUGCGGCCCCAGGUUCCUCCCGGGGCUACGCCUGUCUGAGGGUCA